GGGUGAGUAACACGUGGGUAACCUGCCCAAGAGACUGGGAUAACACCUGGAAACAGAUGCUAAUACCGGAUAACAACACUAGACGCAUGUCUAGAGUUUGAAAGAUGGUUCUGCUAUCACUCUUGGAUGGACCUGCGGUGCAUUAGCUAGUUGGUAAGGUAACGGCUUACCAAGGCAAUGAUGCAUAGCCGAGUUGAGAGACUGAUCGGCCACAUUGGGACUGAGACACGGCCCAAACUCCUACGGGAGGCAGCAGUAGGGAAUCUUCCACAAUGGACGAAAGUCUGAUGGAGCAACGCCGCGUGAGUGAAGAAGGGUUUCGGCUCGUAAAGCUCUGUUGGUAGUGAAGAAAGAUAGAGGUAGUAACUGGCCUUUAUUUGACGGUAAUUACUUAGAAAGUCACGGCUAACUACGCGCCAGCAGCCGCGGUAAUACGUAGGUGGCAAGCGUUGUCCGGAUUUAUUGGGCGUAAAGCGAGUGCAGGCGGUUCAAUAAGUCUGAUGUGAAAGCCUUCGGCUCAACCGGAGAAUUGCAUCAGAAACUGUUGAACUUGAGUGCAGAAGAGGAGAGUGGAACUCCAUGUGUAGCGGUGGAAUGCGUAGAUAUAUGGAAGAACACCAGUGGCGAAGGCGGCUCUCUGGUCUGCAACUGACGCUGAGGCUCGAAAGCAUGGGUAGCGAACAGGAUUAGAUACCCUGGUAGCCCAUGCCGUAA
rnacentral:rRNA from 1 species